rnacentral:rRNA from 11 species
UAAAAUAUGUAGGGUUAAGUACCUUCAAGGUGCCAGGUACCAUCUCAACCUUGAAGCCAAGCUGGGUCACCCCAGUUAGUACUUGGGUGAGAAACCUCCAACAAAUACCAGGUGCUAUUUUAU